AUGCCCUGAGCAAUAGAAUGAAUGCAGACCCAGCUUUCUAGAUAUUGCAAUGUCACUAUUCCUGGAUGUUGCUGCCGGACACCUGGGACCACACUGACUCCUCCAAGGAAGCUGAGGCUCAGAAAGUAAAAUAUAUUUCACCAGGGGAAGGAGUGAAUCCGAUUCAGAGCUACUUCCAGAAGCUCGAACAGUGCCUCAUCUAUUGAGGGUGCUGAACACAGAUUGGUUGAAUAAACGAACGAACACAUGAA